CAGAACAGGGAAGCAUGCCAGCACAGAGUCUGGGACUGAAGCCAGAGCUAUGGGGAAGCUGAAAAGAAAAGAAAUACUCCAGAAGCCAGCUUCAUGCAAAACUUAGAUGGACAUCCUGGGUCAUAACAACUUCCUUAAGAGGAAAUAAGAUUUACUGCCAGAGGCACUGAGGAAAAUUGAUUUCUGUUUGUCCUUGUCUAUAUCCUUAUUUGCAAGAAAACAGUAGCCCCGUCUUUCAAUAGCUUGCUGCCAGUCUUCAUUUUCUGCAUUAAAUGCCUCAGUUUUCCACUAGGUUGUCUUUUGGGGGGU